UACGCAGGGUGCGAGCGUUGUCCGGAAUUAUUGGGCGUAAAGGGCUCGUAGGCGGUUUGUCGCGUCGGGAGUGAAAACACCGGGCUUAACUCGGUGCUUGCUUUCGAUACGGGCAGACUAGAGGCAUGCAGGGGAGAACGGAAUUCCUGGUGUAGCGGUGAAAUGCGCAGAUAUCAGGAGGAACACCGGUGGCGAAGGCGGAUCUCUGGGCCGAUACUGACGCUGAGGAGCGAAAGCGUGGGGAGCAAACAGG
rnacentral:rRNA from 1 species